UACGUAGGCAGCGAGCGUUGUUCGGAAUUACUGGGCGUAAAGAGUGUGUAGGCGGUGCUCCCAGUCUGUUGUGAAAUCUCCCGGCUUAACUGGGAGGGUGCAGCGGAAACUAGAGUGCUAGAGGGUGGGAGAGGUAAGCGGAAUUCCUGGUGAGCGGUGAAAUGCGUAGAGAUCCGGAGGAAGACCGGUGGCGAAGGCGGCCUGCUGGGCAGUUACUGACACUGAGACGCGAAAGCGUGGGGAGCGAACAGG
rnacentral:rRNA from 1 species